rnacentral:misc_RNA from 1 species
AUUGGAUCCAUCGUUUUCUUCACAUGAAAAUGGUUUCAAUAUUGUUUCUUGGGCCUGCAUGCUGUUGCGACAUGGCCAAGCAGAAGAUGUCUUCAAUGCAGGGUUAUGGGAUUCAGGUCCCCAAGAUGAUCUGGUGGAAAUGCUGCACUUGGCUGUCAGAUGUACAGUUGAGACCGUCUCAACCAGGCCUACCAUGAAGCAAGUUGUCCAGCAGUUGAAGCAAAUUCAACCUUCCUAAUGUUAGCGAGGCAAAGAAGCUUACGAAUGUGUACAUGCG